UACGUAGGGCGCAAGCGUUGUCCGGAAUUAUUGGGCGUAAAGAGCUCGUAGGCGGCUUGUCACGUCGGGUGUGAAAACCCGGGGCUCAACCCCGGGCCUGCAGUCGAUACGGGCAGACUAGAGUGCGGUAGGGGAGACUGGAAUUCCUGGUGUAGCGGUGAAAUGCGCAGAUAUCAGGAGGAACACCGGUGGCGAAGGCGGGUCUCUGGGCCAUAACUGACGCUGAGGAGCGAAAGCGUGGGGAGCAAACAGG
rnacentral:rRNA from 1 species